rnacentral:rRNA from 1 species
UACAGAGGGGGCAAGCGUUGUUCGGAAUUACUGGGCGUAAAGGGCGCGUAGGCGGCCUGUUAAGUCGAACGUGAAAUCCCCGGGCUCAACCCGGGAACUGCGUCCGAUACUGGAUGGCUUGAGAUCGGGAGAGGGAUGCGGAAUUCCAGGUGUAGCGGUGAAAUGCGUAGAUAUCUGGAGGAACACCGGUGGCGAAGGCGGGACUCUGGGCCGAUACUGACGCUGAGGAGCGAAAGCGUGGGGAGCAAACAGG